rnacentral:rRNA from 1 species
GACGAACGCUGGCGGCGUGCUUAACACAUGCAAGUCGAACGCGCCUGUCCUCUGGGUUUCUGGGGGGUGGGUGAGUGGCGAGCGGGUGAGUCACACGUGAGUAACCUGCCCCCUUCUUCGGGAUAACGGCCUGAAAGGGCUGCUAAUACCGGGUAUUCACUGGUCUCCGCAUGGGGUCGGGUGGAAAGGUUUUUUUCUGGUGGGGGAUGGGCUCGCGGCCUAUCAGCUUGUUGGUGGGGUGAUGGCCCACCAAGGCUUUGACGGGUAGCCGGCCUGAGAGGGGGACCGGUCACAUUGGGACUGAGAUACGGCCCAGGAUCCUACGGGAGGCAGCAGGGGGGAAUAUUGCACAAUGGGCGCAAGCCUGAUGCAGCGACGGCGGGUGAGGGAUGGAGGGCGUCGGGUUGUGAACCUCUUUCGCCCGUGGUCAAGCCGCGACGUGGGUCGUGGUGAGGGUAGUGGGUAAAGAAGCGCCGGCUAACUACGUG